GACGGGGGGGCAAGGUGUUCUUCGGAAUGACUGGGCGUAAAGGGCACGUAGGCGGUGAAUCGGGUUGAAAGUGAAAGUCGCCAAAAAGUGGCGGAAUGCUCUCGAAACCAAUUCACUUGAGUGAGACAGAGGAGAGUGGAAUUUCGUGUGUAGGGGUGAAAUCCGUAAAUAUACGAAGGAACGCCAAAAGCGAAGGCAGCUCGUCUGGGUCCCUACCCGACGCUGGGGUGCGAAAGCAUGGGGAGCGAACAGG
rnacentral:rRNA from 1 species